GAACAAAAAGUUAAAAAUAUUUUAAUAAACAAACUAAUAAAUAAUAACAAUACCCUUCUUCAAUAGUAAUCUCCCCUUGGUACAAAUUAAAUAACUAGCACGCGUUAGACGUGUCUUUUCAUAUAUAGUAGUCAAUACAAAAUCCUACUAAAAUGAGAUGCAAUAAGCUAAGAGAGAAUACAAAAUUUCUCAGACCAUUGAAUUACGCGGAAUUCCAACAGAUUGUCCAUUAUGCUCCCUUCAAUUAGGGUGUAGGGAAAGAAAGCACUAGUCAUCCCACACAAUGGAGGGGGAAAAAUAACAAGGAAAGAAACAAAUAUCGUCACAAUCUCCUACACAAAAGUGCAAUCAAUACAAGAAUGUAUUCAUUUCAUGAAGAUGACAAAUUAUAUUCUGAAGCAAUUCAAAUCGCAGGACAUUGAUGUACCUUGAUUGCAAUUUGUGCUUUGUUCUAUGUGACCUGGAAUAAAUGUAGGAGUAGGAAUAUCAGUCUCGCAGCAAUCCAGAAACAAAAAAGUUGCAAGCUUUAUGUUUUUGAUCUCAAAGCGAGACCAGUUUCCACUUUCUUAAUUUCAAAGAUUAGCAUCCUCCACAUCUUCAGCACAAACAUUUCAGCUUCAUCA
rnacentral:misc_RNA from 1 species